rnacentral:rRNA from 1 species
UACGUAGGGUGCGAGCGUUAAUCGGAAUUACUGGGCGUAAAGCGUGCGCAGGCGGUUUUGUAAGCCCGAUGUGAAAUCCCCGGGCUUAACCUGGGAAUGGCAUUUGGGACUGCAAGGCUUGAGUGCGGCAGAGGAGACUGGAAUUCCUAGUGUAGCAGUGAAAUGCGUAGAUAUCAGGAGGGACACCGAUGGCGAAGGCAGGUCUCUGGGCUGACACUGACGCUCAUGCACGAAAGCGUGGGGAGCAAACAGG